AUUGAAAAGAAACCGCUUCGAUCAAACGAUUCAGACGAGUUGUGGAGGC
rnacentral:tRNA from 1 species